rnacentral:rRNA from 1 species
UAGGGAAUCUUCGGCAAUGGACGAAAGUCUGACCGAGCAACGCCGCGUGAGUGAAGAAGGUUUUCGGAUCGUAAAACUCUGUUGUUAGAGAAGAACAAGGACGUUAGUAACUGAACGUCCCCUGACGGUAUCUAACCAGAAAGCUACGGCUAACUACGUGCCAGCAGCCGCGGUAAUACGUAGGUGGCAAGCGUUGUCCGGAUUUAUUGGGCGUAAAGCGAGCGCAGGCGGUUUCUUAAGUCUGAUGUGAAAGCCCCCGGCUCAACCGGGGAGGGUCAUUGGAAACUGGGAGACUUGAGUGCAGAAGAGGAGAGUGGAAUUCCAUGUGUAGCGGUGAAAUGCGUAGAUAUAUGGAGGAACACCAGUGGCGAAGGCGGCUCUCUGGUCUGUAACUGACGCUGAGGCUAGAAAGCGUGGGGAGCAAACAGG